rnacentral:rRNA from 1 species
AACGAACGCUGGCGGCAGGCUUAACACAUGCAAGUCGAACGCAUCCUUCGGGAUGAGUGGCAGACGGGUGAGUAACGCGUGGGAACGUGCCCUUUAGUUGGAAUAACCCAGGGAAACUUGGGCUAAUACCGGAUACGCCCGAAAGGGGAAGAUUUAUCGCUGAAGGAGCGGCCCGCGUCUGAUUAGCUAGUUGGUGAGGUAAUGGCUCACCAAGGCGACGAUCAGUAGCUGGUCNGAGAGGAUGA